rnacentral:rRNA from 1 species
GUCGAACGGACUUAACUCAUUCUUUUAGAUUGAGAGCGGUUAGUGGCGGACUGGUGAGUAACACGUAAGCAACCUGCCUAUCAGAGGGGAAUAACAGUGAGAAAUCAUUGCUAAUACCGCAUAAGCUAGUAGUAUCGCAUGAUAUAGCUAGAAAAGGAGCAAUCCGCUGAUAGAUGGGCUUGCGUCUGAUUAGCUAGUUGGUGGGGUAACGGCCUACCAAGGCGACGAUCAGUAGCCGGACUGAGAGGUUGAACGGCCACAUUGGGACUGAGAUACGGCCCAGACUCCUACGGGAGGCAGCAGUCGGGAAUAUUGCGCAAUGGAGGAAACUCUGACGCAGUGACGCCGCGUAUAGGAAGAAGGUUUUCGGAUUGUAAACUAUUGUCGUGAGGGAAGAAAUUGACAGUACCUCAGGAGGAAGCUCCGGCUAACUAUGUGCCAGCAGCCGCGGUAAUACAUAGGGAACAAGCGUUAUCCGGAUUUAUUGGGUGUAAAGGGUGCGUAGACGGGAAAUUAAGUUAGUUGUGAAAUCCCUCGGCUUAACUGAGGAACUGCAACUAAAACUGAUUUUCUUGAGUACUGGAGAGGAAAGUGGAAUUCCUAGUGUAGCGGUGAAAUGCGUAGAUAUUAGGAGGAACACCAGUGGCGAAGGCGACUUUCUGGACAGUAACUGACGUUGAGGCACGAAAGUGUGGG